GGAUCAUUACUGAGUUUACGCUCUACAACCCUUUGUGAACAUACCUAUAACUGUUGCUUCGGCGGGUAGGGUCUCCGUGACCCUCCCGGCCUCCCGCCCCCGGGCGGGUCGGCGCCCGCCGGAGGAUAACCAAACUCUGAUUUAACGACGUUUCUUCUGAGUGGUACAAGCAAAUAAUCAAAACUUUUAACAACGGAUCUCUUGGUUCUGGCAUCGAUGAAGAACGCAGCGAAAUGCGAUAAGUAAUGUGAAUUGCAGAAUUCAGUGAAUCAUCGAAUCUUUGAACGCACAUUGCGCCCGCCAGCAUUCUGGCGGGCAUGCCUGUUCGAGCGUCAUUUCAACCCUCAAGCUCUGCUUGGUGUUGGGGCCCUACAGCUGAUGUAGGCCCUCAAAGGUAGUGGCGGACCCUCCCGGAGCCUCCUUUGCGUAGUAACUUUACGUCUCGCACUGGGAUCCGGAGGGACUCUUGCCGUAAAACCCCCCAAUUUUCCAAAGGUUGACCUCGGAUCAGGUAGGAAUACCCGCUGAACUUAAGCAUAUCAAUAAGCGGAGAAAAAGAAACCAACAGGGAUUGCCUCAGUAACGGCGAGUGAAGCGGCAACAGCUCAAAUUUGAAAUCUGGCCCUAGGCCCGAGUUGUAAUUUGCAGAGGAUGCUUUUGGUGCGGUGCCUUCCAAGUUCCCUAGAACGGGACGCCAGAGAGGUGAGAGCCCCGUACAGUUGGACACCAAGCCUUUGUAAAGCUCCUUCGACGAGUCGAGUAGUUUGGGAAUGCUGCUCAAAAUGGGAGGUAUAUUUCUUCUAAAGCUAAAUACCGGCCAGAGACCGAUAGCGCACAAGUAGAGUGAUCGAAAGAUGAAAAGCACUUUGAAAAGAGGGUUAAACAGCACGUGAAAUUGUUAAAAGGGAAGCGCUUGUGACCAGACUUGCGUCCGGUGAAUCACCCAGCUCUCGCGGCUGGGGCACUUCGCCGGCUCAGGCCAGCAUCAGCUCGCUGUCGGGGACAAAAGCUUCAGGAACGUAGCUCUCUUCGGGGAGUGUUAUAGCCUGUUGCAUAAUACCCUUCGGCGGGCUGAGGUACGCG
rnacentral:rRNA from 1 species